rnacentral:rRNA from 1 species
UACGAAGGGGGCUAGCGUUGCUCGGAAUUACUGGGCGUAAAGGGCGCGUAGGCGGACAGUUUAGUCAGAGGUGAGAGCCCAGGGCCCAACCUUGGAAUUGCCUUUGAUACUGGCUGUCUUGAGUUCGGGAGAGGUGAGUGGAAUGCCGAGUGUAGAGGUGAAAUUCGUAGAUAUUCGGCGGAACACCAGUGGCGAAGGCGACUCACUGGCCCGAUACUGACGCUGAGGCGCGAAAGCGUGGGGAGCAAACAGG